UAUUUUGACUAUACAAAGGUAUUGUAAUAAGAUUUUAAUUGAAUGCUAAAAGAAUGGAAAUUUAAAAAAAAACUUUUUUAAAAAUAAAAAUUGAAUUUUUUUUAAUUUGUGCAAAAACAAUUAUUAUUAUUAAAGACAAGAAGACCCUAAGAAUUUAUGAUUUUGUAAUUAAAAGUUUUUUUUAAAAAAUCUUGAUUGGGGCGAUCAAAAAAUAUUAAUAACUUUUUAAAUUUAAAUUGAUCUAUUAUUAAUAAACUAAUGAAUUAAAUA
rnacentral:rRNA from 1 species